CAUCCUCAAUCUGUUGUGGGCAGAUCCAGUGAAUAUGGGCGUCAAUGCCCCCAGCGGUGAGAAUACGCCCCUCCCCGGCAAUGGCCUCGGUACCGGGGCCGAUUAUAAUAUCCACAUUGGGCUGCACAUCGGGGUUGCCCGCUUUGCCAAUGGCGCAGAUACGACCAUCCUUAAUACCCACAUCCGCUUUGACAAUCCCCCAGUGAUCCACAAUCAGGGCGUUGGUGAUCACCGUAUCCACCGCCCCCUCCUGACGGCUGUGCUGGGACUGCCCCAUGCCAUCACG
rnacentral:sRNA from 1 species